rnacentral:rRNA from 1 species
UACAGAGGGUGCAAGCGUUGUUCGGAAUUAUUGGGCGUAAAGAGCUCGUAGGCGGUGUGUCGCGUCGGCCGUGAAAACCUGCAGCUUAACUGUGGGCUUGCGGUCGAUACGGGCAUCACUGGAGUUCGGCAGGGGAGACUGGAAUUCCUGGUGUAGCGGUGAAAUGCGCAGAUAUCAGGAGGAACACCGGUGGCGAAGGCGGGUCUCUGGGCCGAUGACUGACGCUGAGGAGCGAAAGCGUGGGGAGCGAACAGG